rnacentral:rRNA from 1 species
GAUCAUAGCUCAGGACGAACGCUGGCGGCGUGCCUAACACAUGCAAGUCGAACGGAAGCAGAGAUUUCGGUUUUUGCUUUAGUGGCGAACGGGUGAGUAACGCGUGAGGAACCUGCCUUUCAGUGGGGGGACAACAGUUGGAAACGACUGCUAAUACCGCAUAAUACUUUCGAGCGGCAUCGUUUGAAAGUCAAAGAUUUAUUGCUGAAAGAUGGCCUCGCGUCUGAUUAGCUAGUUGGUGGGGUAACGG